rnacentral:rRNA from 1 species
GACGAACGCUGGCGGCGUGCCUAAUACAUGCAAGUCGAACGAACUCUGGUAUUGAUUGGUGCUUGCAUCAUGAUUUACAUUUGAGUGAGUGGCGAACUGGUGAGUAACACGUGGGAAACCUGCCCAGAAGCGGGGGAUAACACCUGGAAACAGAUGCUAAUACCGCAUAACAACUUGGACCGCAUGGUCCGAGUUUGAAAGAUGGCUUCGGCUAUCACUUUUGGAUGGUCCCGCGGCGUAUUAGCUAGAUGGUGGGGUAACGGCUCACCAUGGCAAUGAUACGUAGCCGACCUGAGAGGGUAAUCGGCCACAUUGGGACUGAGACACGGCCCAAACUCCUACGGGAGGCAGCAGUAGGGAAUCUUCCACAAUGGACGAAAGUCUGAUGGAGCAACGCCGCGUGAGUGAAGAAGGGUUUCGGCUCGUAAAACUCUGUUGUUAAAGAAGAACAUAUCUGAGAGUAACUGUUCAGGUAUUGACGGUAUUUAACCAGAAAGCCACGGCUAACUACGUGCCAGCAGCCGCGGUAAUACGUAGGUGGCAAGCGUUGUCCGGAUUUAUUGGGCGUAAAGCGAGCGCAGGCGGUUUUUUAAGUCUGAUGUGAAAGCCUUCGGCUCAACCGAAGAAGUGCAUCGGAAACUGGGAAACUUGAGUGCAGAAGAGGACAGUGGAACUCCAUGUGUAGCGGUGAAAUGCGUAGAUAUAUGGAAGAACACCAGUGGCGAAGGCGGCUGUCUGGUCUGUAACUGACGCUGAGGCUCGAAAGUAUGGGUAGCAAACAGGAUUAGAUACCCUGGUAGUCCAUACCGUAAACGAUGAAUGCUAAGUGUUGGAGGGUUUCCGCCCUUCAGUGCUGCAGCUAACGCAUUAAGCAUUCCGCCUGGGGAGUACGGCCGCAAGGCUGAAACUCAAAGGAAUUGACGGGGGCCCGCACAAGCGGUGGAGCAUGUGGUUUAAUUCGAAGCUACGCGAAGAACCUUACCAGGUCUUGACAUACUAUGCAAAUCUAAGAGAUUAGACGUUCCCUUCGGGGACAUGGAUACAGGUGGUGCAUGGUUGUCGUCAGCUCGUGUCGUGAGAUGUUGGGUUAAGUCCCGCAACGAGCACAACCCUUAUUAUCAGUUGCCAGCAUUAAGUUGGGCACUCUGGUGAGACUGCCGGUGACAAACCGGAGGAAGGUGGGGAUGACAUCAAAUCAUCAUGCCCCUUAUGACCUGGGCUACACACGUGCUACAAUGGAUGGUACAACGAGUUGCGAACUCGCGAGAGUAAGCUAAUCUCUUAAAGCCAUUCUCAGUUCGGAUUGUAGGCUGCAACUCGCCUACAUGAAGUCGGAAUCGCUAGUAAUCGCGGAUCAGCAUGCCGCGGUGAAUACGUUCCCGGGCCUUGUACACACCGCCCGUCACACCAUGAGAGUUUGUAACACCCAAAGUCGGUGGGGUAACCUUUUAGGAACCAGCCGCCUAAGGUGGGACAGAUGAUUAGGGUG